UGCUUGAUAGUGCAGUGGUAACAUGCAGGCUUAAUAUGCUAGUGCUUGGGGUUCGAGCCUCAGCUCAAUUAA